rnacentral:rRNA from 1 species
GCAAGUCGAGCGGUAGCACAGGAGAGCUUGCUCUCUGGGUGACGAGCGGCGGACGGGUGAGUAAUGUCUGGGAAACUGCCUGAUGGAGGGGGAUAACUACUGGAAACGGUAGCUAAUACCGCAUAACGUCUUCGGACCAAAGUGGGGGACCUUCGGGCCUCACGCCAUCAGAUGUGCCCAGAUGGGAUUAGCUAGUAGGUGGGGUAAUGGCUCACCUAGGCGACGAUCCCUAGCUGGUCUGAGAGGAUGACCAGCCACACUGGAACUGAGACACGGUCCAGACUCCUACGGGAGGCAGCAGUGGGGAAUAUUGCACAAUGGGCGCAAGCCUGAUGCAGCCAUGCCGCGUGUGUGAAGAAGGCCUUCGGGUUGUAAAGCACUUUCAGCGAGGAGGAAGGGUGGUGUGUUAAUAGCGCAUCACAUUGACGUUACUCGCAGAAGAAGCACCGGCUAACUCCGUGCCAGCAGCCGCGGUAAUACGGAGGGUGCAAGCGUUAAUCGGAAUUACUGGGCGUAAAGCGCACGCAGGCGGUUUGUUAAGUCAGAUGUGAAAUCCCCGCGCUUAACGUGGGAACUGCAUUUGAAACUGGCAAGCUAGAGUCUUGUAGAGGGGGGUAGAAUUCCAGGUGUAGCGGUGAAAUGCGUAGAGAUCUGGAGGAAUACCGGUGGCGAA